UUGACCUCGGAUCAGGUAGGGAUACCCGCUGAACUUAAGCAUAUCAAUAAGCGGAGGAAAAGAAACCAACAGGGAUUGCCUCAGUAACGGCGAGU
rnacentral:rRNA from 1 species